rnacentral:rRNA from 1 species
AACGAACGCUGGCGGCAUGCCUAACACAUGCAAGUCGAACGAGACCUUCGGGUCUAGUGGCGCACGGGUGCGUAACGCGUGGGAACCUGCCCUUAGGUUCGGAAUAACUCCCCGAAAGGGGUGCUAAUACCGGAUAAUGUCUUCGGACCAAAGAUUUAUCGCCUUUGGAUGGGCCCGCGUUGGAUUAGCUAGUUGGUAGGGUAAAAGCCUACCAAGGCGACGAUCCAUAGCUGGUCUGAGAGGAGGAUCAGCCACACUGGGACUGAGACACGGCCCAGACUCCUACGGGAGGCAGCAGUGGGGAAUAUUGGACAAGGGGCGAAAGCCUGAUACAGCAAUGCCGCGUGAGUGAUGAAGGCCUUAGGGUUGUAAAGCUCUUUUACCCGGGAUGAUAAUGACAGUACCGGGAGAAUAAGCUCCGGCUAACUCCGUG